rnacentral:miRNA from 1 species
AAAAGCUGGGUUGAGAGGC